rnacentral:rRNA from 1 species
UUUGGUGGUGAUGCGUCUUUUGGAAACACCCGUACCCAUACCGAACACGAUGGUUAAGCAUAAGCCGGCCGAAGGUACUUAGUUGGAGACGACUAGGGAGAAUAGGUGGCUGCCAAAA